rnacentral:lncRNA from 1 species
GGAAAGUAAGACUUUCUGGAGGUUUUCUAUUUGCCUUUUUAGAUCCACUCCCACCUCCCACCCUGCUCUCGGCCCUGUGACCCUGACUGUGUGGCCCACUUUUCCAUCUACACUGGUCUUGGCCAUGGGACACCAGCAGGAGAUCAGAGGGAGUGGGGUGUGGUCAAGAGAUCACUUUGGAAAGGCUGCGUCCAUCCAUAGAGGACACCACCCUUCUUCAGAUGACCUCCGCAAGACUCUUUGUAGAUAGGGCCUGAGGGACCUUCCUAAAUCAAAGUCUCUCAUCACUCUCCAUUAUUUGUGUCAUAGCUGGAACUGUGUCCUCCAAAAUGCAGAAAUGUUUAUUCCUUCAAAAAACACAUUUGCUAAGUGGGACAAUGUGGAUGGAACACUCAGACCUUUGAAGAGGCUGAGAAUCAACUGGCAGAAAAUUAACAAUGAGAAAAGCUGG